AAUUCUGUCCAACGCUCCGCCUCUUUAAAGAGUGACAUAAUGGCUGCUGUGGAGACUGCGGGAAGAGAGAAAAUAGCAGUUUGAAGAAGAGACGAAUAAAACGACGAUUUACAGCGAAACACGCGUUCAUAUUCAGCUUUUACGAAUCAAAAGUGUUAUUAUACACUUUAGGUAGUUCACCGAGUCGGUUUUGGGUUCGAAUGAGUGACUAAACUGGCUGUUAUUCGAAGCGAAAGGAGGUUAACCGAAAUACAGCCCGGGAGACGAAAGCUAACUGUUAGCUGCUCUUUCAGCGCGGCGCAGUUCUGACUGUCUCGCAUUUUUCAGCUUUAGUUUUGAGGUCAUUUUAAGCGUAAUUAUCACUUUUAUGAAACAAAAAAAGGUUUUUUAGUACGGUAAUUUUCUUAUAUAUGCUCUUUUGUACAACAAAGUCGACUAUUUUCAAACUUACCUGGUGUUUUUAUUCAGAAAGUGAAGAGACGUUAAAACCGCCUGAAUCUUGAUUUUGGGUGUUUGGCGAUAUUUUUUAUUUCGCACCCGUUUUCAAGCAACUCCCGCCCUCCUCCGCUGUCAUUGGACAGCAUUUCGUGCUCAUGUAUUGGGCGAAUUGUUAUCUGUUAUCCAAUCACAGUACAGUACGCAGAAACCAUUAGCCAAUCACAGCGCAGCAGAGACGGGACUUGCCUGAAUAUGGGUGUGAAAAACAAAAUAGAACUAGUUCCUUGUAGAACAACAGUGGAGGUGAAAUGGCUGCUUUCGGCCAUUUUGUCUGACACAAACACUGAGACCAACAGAAUUUAACCAGAUAAACACGGUGGUUUAUGGCUCCUCUUUGCCAAAUAAACACUUAAAGGACCCACAGUUACUCACCCCGUGCUGAUUUGUGGGUCAUUAAGGCUUCUGUUGGGGUAAAAGAUGGUGUUUGUAAAAGUGAAGAACUUUAAUCUGGACUGUAGUAGUUAAAACUCAGAUCCAUCAAGAAUAAUCAGACUCACUGUCUGCACUGAUCAACUGAUCAUUGUAUGUUGCAAAUAAUUAAAAAUAACCCAAAAUAUGCAAGUUGUCUAGUUCACUUGUUAAGCUAGUGUGUGGAAGCACACAGUUUUCUAAGUGUUAUUGGAUAUUAUAACAUCUGAAUUAGUAUUUUUAAGUAUCAACCAUAUUUGUGGUGUCUGAUUUUAGUUAAAUAACAGUGAGAUGUUACAGUAAAUAAACUGCAGACUUACUGUCAGAAACCUGUCUGGGAAAAAAAGAUGUUCAAAGAAGCACAAACAUCAUUCACUGGUUUAAUUCUCUUUAUUAUUGGCAGGGUUGUGAUGUCUGAAUACACUGUCCCAAAUGUGUUCAGUAACUAUAUUAUAAUACAUAAAAAGUAAUAUAAUUAGAAUACGUUUAGAAUACAUCUUGGUAAGACACGGGAACUUUUACUUUUUUACUUAAUUCUCACUGUUUCUUGCUGUUACAAUUCACAGUUUUAUUCAUAUACUAGCUGUGUUAAUACAUUUCAUGAAAAAUUGGCUUAGCAUUUAAAUGAGGUUCCGAAAAUUCUCAAGCUGCCUGCUUCAGUCCACUACUGCUCCCACAACCCCCCAAGCAGGAGUCCAGUACUUUAGUUUAUAAAGAAGCUGUUAAUUGAGGUCUUUAGAGUUUGUCUAGCGAGCAUGUUCGCUACACGCCGUGCAGUGAUUCUAAAAUAGUUAAUAAACAAAGUGAUGGUGUUUUUAUAAAUACUGUAUAUUUUUAAUUUAGUGGGUCAGUAAUCUAAAAGUAUUCUAAAAUGUAAAUAGUAACUGUAUUCUGAAUGCUGCCUUUACAAAAUGUGAUUUGAACUGAAUGCAGAUAUUUAAUUUUUGUAUUCCCAACAUUUGUAUUCUGUUACAUCCCACCCCUGAAUAACUGGUGCUGAUAUUAUGAUGUCUGUCCGUGUCUUCAGUAGAUGUACGGUAUGAGUUUGUAGGGAACUCUCCUGCAGUAUUCCCUCCAAGCCUCUCCGUGUUUCUCCAGACAGGACUCCUCAAUCUCAUUACUCCUCUUCCUCAGCAGGCUGAAGCACUGCAGAGCGGGCAGGGCAGGCACCACGCCAACAUCAGCAGAAUGUCUCCCAGAUAGUUUGGAUGCCGAACCCAACCGAACCAGCCGGACACCAGCAGGUUCUGACCAGACGGACUGCGAAUGGUUUCCAGACCUGAUCAUUAUGUGACAUAAUAAAUAAUACAAAACAUGCACUGA